AAGGGGUUUUAGUUGGUAGGUCCCAGGACACCUUCCUCGGGAAUCCGACACAACUCAGUCGUACAGAUGAGUGGGUGUCUUUUGAAGAUUUCCCUCUU
rfam:Agrilus planipennis Contig9880, whole genome shotgun sequence.